CCAGGAGAACAGCUGUGAGCCUGUCAGCGCUGAGGGGAGCUCUGUAUUUGUCUAUCAAGUGUCUGCAGUCCUGGGGGGUAUGGCUCACAGCUCCAUGCAGAGCCUGGUGGGAGUUGGUGAGACAGCAGGAGGAAAGGUUAAAUGAAUAACAAGUGUAUUCGGAACAAAAUAGAAAUAAACUAGACAGGAAAUUGAGUGGUGACAGGAACAGGUUACCUGAUGACUAACUGGGGAGAAGGACAAAAGCUGUGAUACUGAAGGACAAGGAGGAGCAACACAUGAUGGAGGUAACCGCGGUGGUUGCUGAGUCUACCCCAUAAGUUUCAGCUCUGUGAAGAUGUCCCAGGAGAUUUUAACUUCAAGAAAUAGUUGUAUUCAAGUCCAGAGGACUCUGCUUACUGGGAAAUAUUGAAGAUAGAUAAAGUACCAAUACUACUAAGGUGUGAAUUCAAAGACAGAGAAAAUCAUCUAUGGCCAUACCACCCUGAAUGCACCCGAUCUCGUCAGAGACAGAGAAAAUCAUUGAUAGUGGGAGGAGCAGCAGAAGCAGAGAUGGAAAGUGAAA